UACGAAGGGGGCUAGCGUUGCUCGGAUUGACUGGGCGUAAAGGGCGCGUAGGCGGUUCGUACAGUCAGACGUGAAAUUCCUGGGCUCAACCUGGGGGCUGCGUUUGAUACGUGCGGACUUGAGUGCGGAAGAGGGUCGUGGAAUUCCCAGUGUAGAGGUGAAAUUCGUAGAUAUUGGGAAGAACACCGGUGGCGAAGGCGGCGACCUGGUCCGAUACUGACACUAAACUACGAAAGCAUGGGGAGCAAACAGG
rnacentral:rRNA from 1 species